rnacentral:rRNA from 1 species
GACGAACGCUGGCGGCGUGCCUAAUACAUGCAAGUCGAACGCACUCUCGUUUAGAUUGAAGGAGCUUGCUCCUGAUUGAUAAACAUUUGAGUGAGUGGCGGACGGGUGAGUAACACGUGGGUAACCUGCCCUAAAGUGGGGGAUAACAUUUGGAAACAGAUGCUAAUACCGCAUAAAACCUAACACCGCAUGGUGUAGGGUUGAAAGAUGGUUUCGGCUAUCACUUUAGGAUGGACCCGCGGUGCAUUAGUUAGUUGGUGAGGUAAAGGCUCACCAAGACCGUGAUGCAUAGCCGACCUGAGAGGGUAAUCGGCCACACUGGGACUGAGACACGGCCCAGACUCCUACGGGAGGCAGCAGUAGGGAAUCUCCCACAAUGGACGAAAGUCUGAUGGAGCAACGCCGCGUGAGUGAAGAGGGUUUCGGAUCGUAAAACUCUGUUGUUGGAGAAGAAUGUAUCUGAUAGUAACUGAUCAGGUAGUGACGGUAUCCAACCAG